CCUACGGGGGGCAGCAGUGAGGGAUUUUCGGCAAUGGGCGAAAGCCUGACCGAGCGACGCCGCGUGAGCGAAGAAGGCCUUCGGGUCGUAAAGCUCUGUCUAGGGGGACGAGAGAGGACGGUACCCCUGGAGGAAGCCACGGCUAACUACGUGCCAGCAGCCGCGGUAAUACGUAGGUGGCGAGCGUUGUCCGGAAUUACUGGGCGUAAAGGGCGCGCAGGCGGCGCGUUAAGUCCGGGGUGAAAUCCCACGGCUCAACUGUGGGGGGACCUUGGAUACUGGCGUGCUGGAGUGCGGGAGAGGGAAGCGGAAUUCCACGUGUAACGGUGAAAUGUAUAGAUAUGUGGAGGAACACCGGUGGCGAAGGCGGCUUCCUGGACCGUAACUGACGCUGAGGCGCGAAAGCUGGGGGAGCGAACAGGAUUAGAUACCCUAGUAGUC
rnacentral:rRNA from 1 species